rnacentral:misc_RNA from 1 species
GUGAAUCAUCGAAUUUUUGAACGCAAAUUGCACUCUCUUCGGAGAGUAUGCCUGUUUGAGGGUCAGCCUAAAAAAAAAAUCGACAUAGUCGCUGUUUUGCGGUGACAUUCGUCGGAAUUUGGGUCAUUUUAAACCUUUGGGUUUUAAGCGGCUUAAAAUUUUCUUUUCGAUUCUACGAACGUUUCUAAAAUUUCUUUUUUUUUCGUUUAAGUU